rnacentral:rRNA from 1 species
GAGUUUGAUCUUGGCUCAGAUUGAACGCUGGCGGCAUGCCUUACACAUGCAAGUCGAACGGCAGCACGGGAGCUUGCUCCUGGUGGCGAGUGGCGAACGGGUGAGUAAUGCAUCGGAACGUAUCCUGGAGUGGGGGAUAACGUAGCGAAAGUUACGCUAAUACCGCAUAUUCUGUGAGCAGGAAAGCGGGGGACCUUCGGGCCUCGCGCUCUUGGAGCGGCCGAUGUCGGAUUAGCUAGUUGGUGAGGUAAAGGCUCACCAAGGCGACGAUCCGUAGCAGGUCUGAGAGGAUGAUCUGCCGACACUGGAACUGAGACACGGUCCAGACUCCUACGGAGGCAGCAGUGGGAAUUUUGGACAAUGGGGCAACCCUGAUCCAGCCAUGCCGCGUGAGUGAAGAA